CAGCAGUGAGGAAUCUUCCACAAUGGGCGAAAGCCUGAUGGAGCAACGCCGCGUGAAGGAUGAAGGCCUUCGGGUUGUAAACUUCUUUUAUGAGUGAAGAAUAUGACGGUAACUCAUGAAUAAGCACCGGCUAACUACGUGCCAGCAGCCGCGGUCAUACGUAGGGUGCAAGCAUUAUCCGGAGUGACUGGGCGUAAAGAGUUGCGUAGGCGGUUUAAUAAGUGAAUAGUGAAACCUGGUGGCUCAACCAUACAGACUAUUAUUCAAACUGUUAAACUCGAGAAUGGUAGAGGUAACUGGAAUUUCUAGUGUAGGAGUGAAAUCCGUAGAUAUUAGAAGGAACACCGAUGGCGUAGGCAGGUUACUGGGCCAUUUCUGACGCUAAGGCACGAAAGCGUGGGGAGCGAACCGGAUUAGAUACCCGGGUAGUCCACGCCGUAAACGAUGGAUACUAGCUGUUGGAGGUAUCGACCCCUUCAGUAGCGAAGCUAACGCGUUAAGUAUCCCGCCUGUGGAGUACGGCCGCAAGGCUAAAACAUAAAGGAAUUGACGGGGACCCGCACAAGCGGUGGAUUAUGUUCUUUAAUUCGAUGAUAACCGAAGAACCUUACCAGGGCUUGACAUCCAGGGAAGGUCUGCGAAAGUAGACUGUGCCUUUUGGAACCCUGUGACAGGUGAUGCAUGGCCGUCGUCAGCUCGUGUCGUGAGAUGUUAGGUUAAGUCCUUCAACGAGCGCAACCCUUGUGAAUAGUUGUAUUUUUCUAUUCAGACUGCCCCGGUAACGGGGAGGAAGGAGGGGAUGAUGUCAGGUCAGUAUUUCCCUUACGUCCUGGGCUAGAAACGUAAUACAAUGGCUAGUACAAUGCGCAGCGAAGCCGCGAGGUGAAGCAAAUCGCAUCAAAGCUAGUCCCAGUUCGGAUUGUAGGCUGAAACUCGCCUGCAUGAAGUCGGAAUCGCUAGUAAUCGCAGAUCAGCAUGCUGCGGUGAAUACGUUCCCGGGUCUUGUACACACCGCCCGUCAAACCAUGAAAGUCACUAACACCCGAAGUCCGAUUCGUCGGCCUAAGGUGGGAGGGAUGAUUGGGGUUAAGUCGUAACAAGGUAUCCGUACCGGAAGGUGCGGAUG
rnacentral:rRNA from 1 species